UCUAACCAGGACCCACAGGAAGCAGGGUAAGGCUGUCUCUGAUGUGGGAAGGCAGCCCAAGGUCUCAAGGAGAGGCAGAACCCAGACCUACAGACCCCUAAACCAGUGCUUCUUUCCUGAGCAAACCUGGCUGAGCUGGAGCUCUCAGGGGCUAGGUUCACCAUCGGCUGUGGUGCUGGGGAGACACAGGAAGGCUGUCCUAAGGGGGGACUGCAGAGCCCAAGGCAACAAGGACUCCCUGUGGCCACCACAUGCCUUGUACAGAGGCUCUGCCAGAAACGGAGCUACUGUUUCAGAGUACAUUUAUGAAGUGGAAACUUAGAAAGUCGGUUGUGUCGGCUGAUGGUGUUUUGGAACUGCCUCCACUGACCUGUGAUCUGAACUGCUGAUGUCCUGACAAUGCAGGAGGCACCCGACCACAUCCAACAAACAAUCCAGGGAACAAAAUGCACCUGAGGUAAAGAUUUCUCUGCCCUUUUUCCUGGAGCCUCUCUCACCGUUACCCAGGGUCUUGUUCACCAUGGGUCAUUCCUUUGACCAUUUUCCAACAAACCCUGCCCCAACCAAAUCCCAGCUGCGGGGAAAACAGAAAAUACAAACACCUGCUGAGUGGUCUUGGUCAACUUGACACAAACUAGAGUCACCCGGGAAGAGUGACUCAAGUAAGGGAUUUCCUCCAUCAAAUUGGCCCGCGGAAGUGUCUGGGGGCAUCAGUGAUUAGUGAUUCAUCUGGGAAGACUCAGCCCCCUGCGGGUGAUUAUCACUCCUUGGUAGGUGGGCUUGGGUGGUAUAAGCGCAGGAUGAAUAAGCCAUGGGGAAUAAGCCAGUAAGCCGUGUUUCUUCGUGUUCUUUGCUUGUUCCUGCCUUAAGGUUCCUGCCUUGGACUGUGCCUCAGUGGCACAGAUGGGCUGUAAUCCAUAAGCUAACAUAGCUCCCUGUUUGCAGUACGUGCAAGUCAGUGCUUUAUCAAAGCCACAAAGAAUGCACAGCACACCUGUGUCAUUUCUCAUCAAACUUCAUCUUUUACCUUGAUUUUAAUUCUGAGCCCUCUACACCCUUUGGGUUUUUUUUUUUUUUUCCCAAUAAAAUUGGAACUAGUGGGGAAGGAAAUGGGGAACCAAAGAGGGGCCCUAGACUUUACAUGGGCUCCUGCUGGGUUCAGGGAAGCCCCAGGCAAG